GCACUGCUGAGGAGUCCCAUACUAGAAUGAAACGACCGUCCAGUAC
rfam:Schistosoma haematobium scaffold756_31, whole genome shotgun sequence.